UACGGGGGGAGCAAGCGUUGUUCGGAUUUACUGGGCGUAAAGGGCGCGUAGGCGGCCACGACAAGUCAGUUGUGAAAUCUCUGGGCUUAACUCAGAACGGUCAACUGAUACUGUCGGGCUAGAGUGCAGAAGGGGCAACUGGAAUUCUCGGUGUAGCAGUGAAAUGCGUAGAUAUCGUGAGGAAGACCAGUGGCGAAGGCGGGUCUCUGGACAGUUCCUGACACUGAGGCACGAAGGCCAGGGGAGCAAACGGG
rnacentral:rRNA from 1 species